GACGAACGCUGGCGGCGUGCCUAAUACAUGCAAGUUGAGCGCUGAAGGUUGGUACUUGUACCGACUGGAUGAGCAGCGAACGGGUGAGUAACGCGUGGGGAAUCUGCCUUUGAGCGGGGGACAACAUUUGGAAACGAAUGCUAAUACCGCAUAAAAACUUUAUACACAAGUUUUAAGUUUGAAAGAUGCAAUUGCAUCACUCAAAGAUGAUCCCGCGUUGUAUUAGCUAGUUGGUGAGGUAAAGGCUCACCAAGGCGAUGAUACAUAGCCGACCUGAGAGGGUGAUCGGCCACAUUGGGACUGAGACACGGCCCAAACUCCUACGGGAGGCAGCAGUAGGGAAUCUUCGGCAAUGGACGAAAGUCUGACCGAGCAACGCCGCGUGAGUGAAGAAGGUUUUCGGAUCGUAAAACUCUGUUGGUAGAGAAGAACGUUGGUGAGAGUGGAAAGCUCAUCAAGUGACGGUAACUACCCAGAAAGGGACGGCUAACUACGUG
rnacentral:rRNA from 1 species